rnacentral:rRNA from 1 species
GUUCCAGACUCCUACGGGAGGCAGCAGUGGGAAAUAUUGCACAAUGGGGGAAACCCUGAUGCAGCGACGCCGCGUGAGCGAUGAAGUAUUUCGGUAUGUAAAGCUCUAUCAGCAGGGAAGAAGAUGACGGUACCUGACUAAGAAGCCCCGGCUAACUACGUGCCAGCAGCCGCGGUAAUACGUAGGGGGCAAGCGUUAUCCGGAUUUACUGGGUGUAAAGGGAGCGUAGACGGCGAUGCAAGCCAGAUGUGAAAGCCCGGGGCUCAACCCCGGGACUGCAUUUGGAACUGUGUGGCUGGAGUGUCGGAGAGGCAGGCGGAAUUCCUAGUGUAGCGGUGAAAUGCGUAGAUAUUAGGAGGAACACCAGUGGCGAAGGCGGCCUGCUGGACGAUGACUGACGUUGAGGCUCGAAAGCGUGGGGAGCAAACAGGAUUAGAUACCCCAGUAA